UACGUAGGGGGCUAGCGUUGUCCGGAAUCAUUGGGCGUAAAGCGCGUGUAGGCGGUCCGGUAAGUCCGCUGUGAAAGUCGGGGGCUCAACCCUCGGAUGGCGGUGGAUACUGUCGGGCUCGAGUACGGAAGAGGCGAGUGGAAUUCCUGGUGUAGCGGUGAAAUGCGCAGAUAUCAGGAGGAACACCUAUUGCGAAGGCAGCUCGCUGGGACGUUACUGACGCUGAGACGCGAAAGCGUGGGGAGCAAACAGG
rnacentral:rRNA from 1 species